CAACUUUCAUCCCAUAGGCUUCAGGUAACCUACAAGUGGGCAUGUGAUCUAGGCUUCAACCACCACAGCUCAUAUCACUUGAAUUCUCUUUGCAAGCAUUUUUUGGGAAAAUAACCCAAGGACUAGCAUGAAUGGGUGAUGACCCAAAUCCUUUGAACUCUAAGGCAUAUAGACACAAUUCUGGGGUUUUCACUUGAACUUUUAGGAAAGCAGCUAUCCUCUUUGGAGGGGAGGAGGAUUAGAACCGAGAAGCAAUUCUGAGUCCUGCAAUCACCUUGUCCCUGUAUAAGGAGAGAGGCUAGCAGAGAACGAAACCAACACAGCAGAAAUCAGAGCAAUGCGAAGGACAGAAACCGAGUCCUGGUGACAUUAUCAGAGCCACUGAAUCCAGCUGCCUCUUGGCUAGACAACCCUAGAUCUUCAACAAUCUCCACAAACCCCCUUUCUAGUCAGUCCAUGUUGAUGUUCACUGCCGUCACUGUGGGAGGAUGUUCAAAACAUGACAGAAUGUGACACGAGGUGAUACGUGAAAUUGGCUCUGUGAAUUAUCAAGGGUGAGUUGCGGUUCUAUUUGUUAGGGUAAAGUAUACGCCUCAGAAAGUGUUCAAUGAGCUGGAAACGCAAAGCAAAGAUCAGCCAUGAGUACCAUCUUUCUCUAAUCCCAGGUUCUCUAGAAAGAUGAGCCUAAGGCAAGGAUUAAGGUAUGGAUGCUUUCUUUGAGAAGUGUGAACCUAUCAGGAGGUGGGGGGAAGAAAAAUGGAAGAAGACACAGAAAGAUAUAAAGCAGUGCUAUGUGAUUCAUUACUGCACUUGCUAGUCCUUUAAUGAGUCACAGAGAGCUGUUGCGGGUCAUUCAGGUUCACUUGCUGAGGCUAUGAGACUUUUCUAGAAGGGCUACAAAGAACAACUACACAUCAUCAAAGUCUAUGGAAGGAAGAAAGAAAGUGGAUUUAUCUGCCCAGCUUGCUCCCAUCUCCCAUUUCCUGUUAGUUAAGGCUGACUCCAUGGAGAGCUAAUUCCCCUGCACUGCCACACUGUUUCAUCCAAAUCCCUGGAGGCCACUGGGGAAAUCAAAUUCUACACCUGCAGGAUGGAAUUCCAUCCAGGUCUGCAAGUCAAAGGAGUGACUCAGUGCAGUUGAGCUCUGGGUGUGAGGUACAUGGCUCAUGAAGUCCUG
rnacentral:lncRNA from 1 species